rnacentral:tRNA from 1 species
GCAUGGCCAAGCGGUAAGGCAGGGGACUGCAAAUCCUUUAUCCCCAGUUCAAAUCUGGGAACUGCA